GACGAACGCUGGCGGCGUGCUUAACACAUGCAAGUCGAACGGAAAGGCCCUGCUUUUGUGGGGUGCUCGAGUGGCGAACGGGUGAGUAACACGUGAGUAACCUGCCCUUGACUUUGGGAUAACUCAGGAAACUGGGGCUAAUACCGGAUAGGAGCUCCUGCUGCAUGGUGGGGGGUGGAAAGUUUCGGCGGUUGGGGAUGGACUCGCGGCUUAUCAGCUUGUUGGUGGGGUAGUGGCUUACCAAGGCUUUGACGGGUAGCCGGCCUGAGAGGGUGACCGGCCACAUUGGGACUGAGAUACGGCCCAGACUCCUACGGGAGGCAGCAGUGGGGAAUAUUGCACAAUGGGCGGAAGCCUGAUGCAGCAACGCCGCGUGCGGGAUGACGGCCUUCGGGUUGUAAACCGCUUUCGCCUGUGACGAAGCGUGAGUGACGGUAAUGGGUAAAGAAGCACCGGCUAACUACGUG
rnacentral:rRNA from 1 species